GAUUUCCUGACACUACGCACUUUGGCCUACGUCUCUUCUGGGAUGAUAGUGUUGAAGUGCGUGUCAGCUUCUGUGGUCAUUUGCGGACCUUCAGCUCACCUGGUUUACUGGGUUGGUUGGAGAUCAUCCGACUCUUGAUCACCUUUACUUUGAAAAAAUUAGAGUGUUCAAAGCAGGCUUACGCCGUGAAUACUAUUAGCAUGGGAUAACACCGUAGGACUUCGGUUCUAUUUUGUUGGUUUUUUAGCAACUGGAGUAAUGAUUGAUAGGGAUAGUUGGGGGUGCUAGUAUUCCGCGGCCAGAGGUGAAAUUCUCGUACUCGCGGAAGACUGACUACUGCGAAAGCAUU
rnacentral:rRNA from 1 species